rnacentral:tRNA from 1 species
AAUGAAAUGCCUGAUAAAAGGAUUAUUUUGAUAGAAUAAAUUAUACAUAUUUUUAUGUUUUCAUUA